AAGGACUCCAUUUUCGGGAUUGACGUAACAGAUACUUUAGCAGAUUUUAAUAUCGCGAACCCUGUUGUCUUUCAAGAUUUACGAUAAUGCGAUUUCCUCCAGUAUUAAUCGACUGUUUUACCGGUUUGCGUCUUACCCGAUUUUUAAUCUGUGAUAACAUGUGUGGAUUAUCAAUAUUUAAUGGUUUUAUGUUUGUUAUCUAUUUAUCUGUGACUGCAGCUUUUUCCCUCCAUUGUACAUGCUAUCUAGAUUUAGGGCGCAUUGUCUUGUGUAAACCAUGCAGCUAUAUACAUAAAAAAUGUACACAGAG
rnacentral:misc_RNA from 1 species